GAGAUGCCGACCACCUCCCUGCUCUGCUCGCCGCCACCUGCCGCCGGUCUCCGCCAUCACCUUCCUCCCAUCGUCACCGGCGUCGGCCUUCCAUUCCGAUCUCCCUCGGAGAUGCCGACCACCUCCCUGCUCUGCUCGCCGCCACCUCCUGCCGAUCUCCGCCGUAGCCUUCCUCCCCAUCGUGACCGGCGUUGGCCUUCCCUUCUGAUCUUCCUCAGGUGCUUUCCUUCCCAUAGAUCUCCGAUACCCUUCAAAGGAAACUCCAUUAUACCAAGUUUCGGCACCCUUCAACUAAAUCGUCACCGUGCCGGUUCUCGAUGGUCCAGUCCGUGCCGUGUUGGCAACUCGAUGCUUCUUGGUUUCCUCCCCUCUCACCGUGCCCAAAACCUGGUCGGCCUUGCGGGCCGGCAGCCCUCGCGGGUCCUCCUCUAUGGCGGAAGGGGCCGAGAGAGAAAAAGGCAAGGGACUGAGCCUUAAGAAAUGGCAGGAAUGGGGCACCUCCUCCCCGGUCCCCGCCAUGUGGCGGAGGUCGUCGAGGACCUGAGGGCCUUGGAGCGAGAGACCAGCACCCACAUGAGCUUCGGCGGCCUCGGUGGGAUGCUUCAGGGGCUACCUGACAGGGAUGGCCGGCGGGUGGUAUUUUCGCUGGAAGCAUGAUUGAUAGAGUGAACGGGUCUCAAUCGGGCGCUUUCUCCUCAAGCAGUGGCAAUUUUUUUAGGACAAGCUACAUGAACAUAGAAGAGUAAGAGGACGUACGAUAUAUGAUCUUUUUAAUAUUUAUUCCGGCAUCAUAUUUUCCAUGAACAUCUAAGUAAGAUUGCUUUGAGAACAUAAUUUUGAUUUAAUAUGUUAAUUUUUAUACUGCUAUUUCUGUAUAACCCUCCUCCCAUCGAUUUUACGUCAAGAUAUUUUAGGGAAAGAAACAUAGAUAGGAUAGAAGGCCAUGGCUGCGGUGGAUGUUGCGGCAUUGCUACUGUGUUUCAAGAUGGCUGGAGUUAUAUUAGAUAUCUCCUAUCAUUGCUACAAAUCUGACGAUCCAAUCCCUCUCUGCGCCAACAAAGUCGGCCCCUUCCACAACCCUAGUUCUUGGAAGAAGAUUUUGGUGAUGUCAGCUAUCCAUCCGCAUAUAUUUCUUUUUGUAAGAGAAAUCUCAAGAAAUGGUAAGUCUUCUUUCAUCUUUUAAUCUCAGUAGACAUGGUUUCUUGAUAUUGAUUUGUUCAUUUUUUCUGUUAAGAGAAUUUGUUCACACUUCUUUCUUUUUUCUGAUGUUAAAUAUUUUUUGUUAACUUAUAAAGAAUAUUUUUUGUUGUACGGGUAUAGCUUUUCUUUGUAUGUGGGGUAUGUUCUUUGAUCGGAUUGCUACAAAUGAUGGGUAUGUUCUAUUUGUAUGUUUGUUUGCUUUAUUUUGAAUGAUUGUUUAGUAUUGGUAAUGGUGUAAUUUCGUGAUCUACAUUAUAGGUUUGAUUUAUUAAAAUCAGGUUUUAUUCAUUGUGGGUUCUUUAGCUUGGAUUUCUUAUAUGUGCAGUAGUUUAUUUUAGAGGGAUUUAGAGAAUAUCAUGUGCUUCGUCGAGAAAACAUGGGAAGAAUGAAGAGGUCAUUUGCUGGAAUUCACUUUUGAGAAGGAAUCGCACAUGUAGGAUUUGGUUGUUUGGAUUAGAAUUUUUUUUUGAUUGAAUCAAUUUUUACACUUACCGCUUGGUGUGCGGCUGACGUCACGGUCAAAGUGUUCGUUUGAUGGUUUGUUUACUCUUUCAGUCGAAAAUAACCUUUUUGCCAAGGCACUAAAGAAAACCCUAAGACGAAACUACCCCGGUCGCUAACAAUCAUUUGAUCAAAAUCUAUCACAAGGUGCUCAGACUGUAAUAUCGUCGUUGGGUCUGGUUGCUUUGCAUGACCGGCUUAUAACGAAUGACUACAAUUAC